AAAAACAGUCCCCUUCGAAGUCUUAAUAAGUCACUGGACUCUUCUCUUCUCUUAUCUUCAUCUUUCAACGCUUUUGUUUUCCACAUCUAGCAAAAACUACACUAUGAAGUCUCUACCGAUUCUGCUAACAUGCGCGGUGAUGCUCACAGUCUUCACCCUCGCACUCCCUUCCACCGUCCUGGCAUAUCCCUCCCCCUACGGUGCCGCCUGUAAACCCACCGCCGCCGACGAUCUCGUUCCUGUAAGAAGAGAAGUGUACGGUAACGGAAGAAUUUUUGAUAUUAGCCAUAGGUACAGCCCCGACAUGCCUUCUUGGGGAUCCGAUGACGGUGUGGGCCAGUUUCUCUGGCUUCCGGCGAGUAUGAAGAACGGCUCGCUCGCUAACAAUUCCGAGAUGAAGCUUCCCACUCACACCGGCACGCACGUCGAUGCGCCUGGUCAUGUUUUCGACCACUACUUUGAUGCUGGCUUCGAUGUCGACACUCUUGACCUUGAAGUACUCAAUGGUCCUGCCUUGGUAGUCGACGUUCCAAGGGAUAUGAACAUAACUGCUGAAGUUAUGAAGUCGUUAAAUAUUCCCAAGGGAGUACGCCGUGUGCUAUUCAGAACAUUAAACACUGACAGGAGGCUUAUGUGGAAAAAAGAGUUCGACACAAGCUAUGUCGGAUUCAUGAAAGAUGGGGCACAAUGGCUGGUGGACUAUACUGACAUCAAACUUGUUGGAAUUGAUUACUUAUCUGUUGCUGCCUAUGCUGAUUUGAUUCCUUCUCAUCUUGUUUUUCUCGAAGGCAGGGAAAUCAUUCUCGUGGAAGGGUUGAAACUUGAAGACGUCCAAGCUGGAAUCUAUGACGUCCAUUGCUUACCUCUAAGGUUGCUUGGUGCUGAAGGCUCGCCUAUAAGAUGCAUCCUCAUCAAAUGAUACCUACCCUUGUAAGUAUAUUUACUAAAGUGAUCCAAUGGCCAAGUAGUCUCACAGCUCUUCCAGGAAGUAAUGACUGUCGCAGGAGGUACGAGUCCAAGAACUUGUUUGGCUUCGGUGUUGGAACUGCUCGUAACCAAUUAUAAGCUGUGGCUGUCUGAUGCAAGAGGGGUUCAGUGUAGAUAAAAUUUAUGAUCUAUUUAAUUAUUGUCUUAUUUUCUACUUGGCUAGGUUUUAUGAUCGGCAUACAAACUUACUGAUACUACUUUAUAGGGUUUAGAAAUUGUGAAUUUAUUUCUCAGAAAUAUAUAUCAUCAUAUUUCCUUGAUAUGAUAUCUGAACAAAUUUUCAAUGGAAAUUAUCGUUGGAGUAAUCUUAAUAAA